rnacentral:lncRNA from 1 species
CCAGCCGACCUCGUUUCAAAGCAACGUCCUAGGAUCUCGCGAUGCAGCCAGCUUCCUAGAUCCUCCGCGCGUUCCCAAUCUUCCAUGCGGUCACCAGCCUUCCAUUCCUCUUCUCCCGCGAUGCAUCCAAACCGACGUCCGAGAUAGUCUUCGCAUCCUCCAAGCGUAUCCCCUGCUUUCGGAUUCCUUCCAUUCGCAAUGGCCUUCAACCACCAAUGGAUCAGUCUUCAACAUCCAAACUAUUGCAAAGAUCAUCCUCCCAGAUUUCUUGCUCCAUAUUUGAUCUCCUCACGCGAUGCAAUCUUCCCAGCGUCCGCGAGUCAAGCGUCAUCUUCCAAGAUUUCCUCCUAGCCGAUUCUAAAAUCCAACAUCACUCCCUCUGGAUCACGAAACAGAAUCCCCUGUUUUAAGAUCAGAUCGCGUCCCAACACGUCCGCAGCCUUCUUCUCGUCCGCAUCCUCUGUGCAUCUCAGUGUGAUCGAUCGUUAUUCACCUUCCACCAAAUCCAGAUCCUCUUCCGCGUUAAAGAAGCAUCGGAUCACGUCCACUGCCCGCAAGAAUCCAGCCGAAUCUAGCUUUCUCUCGAUCGCAUCCAGCUGCCCAUCCUCCGUGGAUCCGGCCUUCCCUUCCAACUCUU